GACGAACGCUGGCGGCGUGCUUAACACAUGCAAGUCGAACGGUAAGGCCCUUCGGGGUACACGAGUGGCGAACGGGUGAGUAACACGUGGGUGAUCUGCCCUGCACUUCGGGAUAAGCCUGGGAAACUGGGUCUAAUACCGGAUAGGACCACUGCGUGCAUGGGUGGUGGUGGAGAGCUUUUGCGGUGUGGGAUGGGCCCGCGGACUAUCAGCUUGUUGGUGGGGUGAUGGCCUGCCAAGGCGACGACGGGUAGCCGGCCUGAGAGGGUGACCGGCCACACUGGGACUGAGAUACGGCCCAGACUCCUACGGGAGGCAGCAGUGGGGAAUAUUGCACAAUGGGCGCAAGCCUGAUGCAGCGACGCCGCGUGAGGGAUGACGGCCUUCGGGUUGUAAACCUCUUUCAGCACCGAUGAAGCGCAAGUGACGGUAGGUGCAGAAGAAGGACCGGUCAACUACGUGCCAGCCGCCGCCGUAA
rnacentral:rRNA from 1 species